rnacentral:rRNA from 1 species
GUCUACGGCCAUUCCACCCUGACCACACCUGAUCUUGUCUGAUCUCGGAAGCUAAGUGGGUUAGGCCUGGUUAGUACUUGGAUGGGAGACCACCUAGGAAGACCAGGUGCUGUAGGCA